CUCAACGCAUCACACGGAUGCCUCGACUCUCUGCUCCGAUGAAGGACGUGGCCAGCUGCGAUAUGCUUCGGUCAGCCGCUAGGCAGGCGCUAUCAGCCGAAGAUUUCCGAAUGGGGAAACCCCAUGGGUGGAAUGACCCAUGACCCGCUUCGCUUCGUUGAGCGAGAACGAGCUUGCUUUGAGCGAUGAGCUUUGAGCUUUGAGUGCCUUUGGCAUUCAAUCUCACAGCUUACAGCUCAUAGCUCAUAGCUCGCUCCGCGAAGCGGAGCGGGAGGUAUACUCUGCGAACUGAAACAUCUCAGUAGCGGGGGAAAAGAAAUCAAAUCCGAGAUUCCCGUAGUAGUGGCGAGCGAACCGGGAAUAGCCCAAACCCCGCGCAAGCGGGGGGUUGUAGGACCUUCAAUACCCGAUUGCACAAACGUAGGCGAACGCCCUGGAACGGGCGGCCAUAGACGGUGAGAGCCCAGUAGCCGAAACGCGAGUGCACGGUGGAGGAUUCCUGAGUAAGGUCGGACACGUGUAAUCCGGCCCGAAUCCGGGUGGACCACCAUCCAAGGCUAAACAGGCAGAGAGAUCAAUAGCGGAUAGUACCGUGAGGGAAAGGUGAAAAGCACCCCGAAAGGGGGAUGAAAUAGUCUCUGAAAUGUGAUGCGAACAACGAGUCGGAGCCCCGCGCAAGCGGGGUGACGGCAUUCCUUUUGCCUAAUGAGCCAACGACUUUGUUCUCAGCGGUGUGGCUAAGGCAGCUAUAGCCGAAGCCGGAGCGAAAGCGAGUCUUAAUAAGGCGUUUAUCGCUGGGACAAGACCCGAAACCGGGUGAGCUACCCAUGAGCAGGAUGAAGUCCGCCGAAAGGCGGAUGGAGGUCCGAACCAUAAUGUAUCGCAAGACAUUGGGAUGACUUGUGGGUUGGAGUGAAAAGCUUAUCGAACCCGGAGAUAGCUGGUUCUCCUCGAAAUGUUUUUUGGAACAGCCUCAUGAUAUACAGCAGGGGGUAGAGCUACUGUUUAGACGAGGGGGUGUUUUACGCCUACCGAGUCCUGACAAACUCCGAAUACCUGCUCUUAGAGUCAUGGGAGUGAGACGGUGACAGCGAAGUGCCAUCGUCGAGAGGGCAACAGCCCAGAUCGUUUGCUAAGGUCCCUAAUACCGGUUAAGUAUUUCAAAGGAAGUGUCAUCGCAUGGACAACCAGGAGGUUUGCUUAGAAGCAGCCACCCUUUAAAGAAAGCGUAACAGCUCACUGGUCGAUUGCGAUGAUGCGCCGAAAAUUUACGGGAUUAAACCGGUAACCGACGCAGCGAGUGUCAGGAGUCCUCGUGAUUCCUGGCGCAGUAGAGGAGCGUUCUAUUCAGCAGUGAAGCUCGGUUGUAAGGCCGGGUGGAGCGGAUAGAAGUGAGACUGUUGGCAUGAGUAACCACAAGGCAGGUGAAAACCCUGCCCGCCGAAUUCCCAAGGUUUCCCACGCAACGUCAAUCGGCGUGGGGUUAGUCGGUCCUAAGGCGAGGCUGAAAAGCGUAGCCGAUGGGCAGCAGGUCAACAUUCCUGCACCUCGUACGCACCGCCAAGGGGAGAAGGUUGAUAGCCUGGCUGGCCUCUGGCCUGUGCCACCGUGGGCUUACGGGUAGCGAGUAGUAAGUAGCUGGUAGCAAGGAAUGGUUAUUUUCCUUUCUACUUACUACCUGCUACCUGCUACCUCGAGUCUAGGGUGGCAUAGGUCAUGUCGGUCGGGAAGGAUUCCUUCAACCCAAGAGAGGCGUGACGGAGACGGAACACCGGAGCGUCUAUAUUGACUGGACGUGGAAAGCACGAAACGUUGAGAGCCGGAGGCAAAUCCCCGGCUUGAGUCGAGUGCCAACCAAUCACCCCCGCUCUGCGGGGCUGCGUCCGACUGUUUCAGCUUCCAAGAAAACCGUCGCUCUGAGGGGCGUAUGAGACCGUACCGCAAACCAACACCGGUGGGGUGGUCGAGUAGACCUAGGUGAACGGGAAAACUCGCGUUAAGGAACUCGGCAAUGAAGCGUCCGUAACUUCGGGAUAAGGACUGCCCUGGAGUCACAUCCGGGGCCGCAGCGAAAGAGCCCCUGCGACUGUUUACCAAAAACACAGGUCCCUGCGAAGCCGUAAGGCAAUGUAUAGGGGCUGAUGCCUGGCCAGUGCUAGAAGGUCACGUGAGGGGGUGUAUGCCUCCGAUCCAAGCCCUAGCGAACGCCGGCCGUAACUAUAACGGUCCUAAGGUAGCGAAAUUCCUUGUCGGGUGGUCGUCAUAACUUGCCCGAAUGUGUCGCAAGGCACAGCACUGAGGAAUUUAAAAAAAGCUUUGAGCGAUGAGCUUUGAGCUUUGAGUGUUUGGAACAGUCUUAAAACUCUUUCAAAAGUUCCAUUUUUGACAGUAAACAUUGUGAUACUUAAACCCCACUUCGCUCCGCAUGCGCGGAGCUACGCGGGGCAAGUCAGUGAAAAACGUCGCUAUAUGCUGGAAAAUCCGAGUAUGCAGCGGUACUUGACAAGUAAUUGCAUUUAUAUAAAGUGCAGUUAUGCAGCCAAGUGAAAAUCCGUCUGCUGCGGACAAUCAGCAGGAAAAAAUCUCAUCUCGAUCAGCGGUUUCCCGUCUUGUUGCCGGAGUACGUCAUUUUUGCUCCGGGAUAUUGCCUCGGGAAAAGAUGAAGCAUCGCCCUUCAGCAUACUAUGCAACUACUCCUGAAGAGCUUGAAUGGGAGGUGCCUAAAUACUGGUCGUGAAAGUUUUGUUCCUCAGAGACUACACGCGACGCUCCGGCUUCGUCCGUCUCCGCUAAAGCGGAGCCGUGACUACGCCGUGAUGAUGAUAUAGUCCGAUCCCUGUGGCGACACAGGGGAGCGCAAAAACGAGCGUUCGGUAAAAAACAAUCGUUGCUCAGAGAAGCUUUUAGCUGUUAGGUUUUAGCUUCUAGGGCAGGUGUAAGUGCGCCUUAGAUUUUGGUCUAGGGUUCUCGGUUCACCACCGAGAGGAAUGCAAGAGCAAAGCUUGAAGCUUAUCGCUUGAAGCUUGUAGCUCGUUUGAAGUUCCGACCCGCACGAAUGGUAUCACGGUGGGGGCACUGUCUCGACGCAAGGCCCGGUGAAAUUGCAGACCCGGUAAAAAUGCCGGGUGAAUCACGGUAGGACGAAAAGACCC
rnacentral:rRNA from 1 species